rnacentral:tRNA from 1 species
GGUUCAAUGGUCUAGUGGUAUGAUUCCUGCUUUGGGUGCAGGAGGCCCCGGGUUCAAAUCCCGGUUGAACCC